rnacentral:rRNA from 1 species
AGAACGAACGCUGGCGGCAGGCUUAACACAUGCAAGUCGAGCGCCCCGCAAGGGGAGCGGCAGACGGGUGAGUAACGCGUGGGAACAUACCCUCCGGUUCGGAAUAACUCAGGGAAACUUGAGCUAAUACCGGAUACGGUCGAGAGGCGAAAGAUUUAUCGCCGGAGGAUUGGCCCGCGUCCGAUUAGCUAGUUGGUGUGGUAAUGGCGCACCAAGGCGACGAUCGGUAGCUGGUCUGAGAGGAUGAUCAGCCACAUUGGGACUGAGACACGGCCCAAACUCCUACGGGAGGCAGCAGUGGGGAAUAUUGGACAAUGGGCGAAAGCCUGAUCCAGCCAUGCCGCGUGAGUGAUGAAGGCCUUAGGGUUGUAAAGCUCUUUCGCCCACGACGAUAAUGACGGUAGUGGGAGAAGAAGCCCCGGCUAACUUCGCGCCAGCAGCCGC